UAAUAAACUGAGCAAGUUUUAGAUAUGUUGCC
rnacentral:piRNA from 1 species